AGCGACCCCAGGUUAGGUGAGACUACCCGGUGAGUUUAAGCAUAUCAAUAAGCGGAGGA
rnacentral:rRNA from 1 species